rnacentral:rRNA from 1 species
GACGAACGCUGGCGGCGUGCUUAACACAUGCAAGUCGAGCGGUAAGGCCCUUUCGGGGGUACACGAGCGGCGAACGGGUGAGUAACACGUGGGUGACCUGCCCUCAGCUCUGGGAUAAGCCUGGGAAACUGGGUCUAAUACUGGAUAUGACUCCACGGUGCAUGUCGUGGGGUGGAAAGCCUUGUGCGGCUGAGGAUGGGCCCGCGGCCUAUCAGCUUGUUGGUGGGGUGAUGGCCUACCAAGGCGACGACGGGUAGCCGGCCUGAGAGGGCGACCGGCCACACUGGGACUGAGACACGGCCCAGACUCCUACGGGAGGCGGCAGUGGGGAAUCUUGCGCAAUGGGCGAAAGCCUGACGCAGCGACGCCGCGUGAGGGAUGACGGCCUCGG